GAAAAAAUGACAUUUUGAGUAUUAUGAAUGCUUUCAAAAGUGCAAAGGUUUUAAAUACAUAUUGUAUAGACUGAAUUAUAUGGUAUAACCAGCUGUCAAAGCUACCAAAGACUGCCAUACCUGCAGAGUCAGUUAUCAGUCAGAAUAAUUUGUGUCCAACAGUAGUGUAAAUCUAGUCUCUGCUACUAGAGAACCGAAUUUCAUUCUAACUGAGCACUCAGUCAGAACUUGUCUCUUUUCUUUACCAUGCACCCAUUUACUGGACUUAUUUAAACCUUCUUAAGAAAGAUGUGAUGUUUAUUAUUUUAUGGUCAGGUGGAGCUGGAGUGAAAUCUUGACAGCGUAAGGUGUAAGUAAGGAAUCAUCCCUAGUUGGGAUACCCGUGAAUUCCAACUGAGACAAGUCAUUGAUUGUACAAAAUUCGCACCAAGUCUCACAGUAACAGUGUAUUGCAUUUAAAUAUUUAUAUGGUUGUUUAGCCAACUGUGAAUAAGUAGAGUGUCAUGGUAGUACAAUGACUAGCAUUGUUAUCUGCCAGAUCCAGCAUCCUGAGUUUGAAACCCACACUUGUUUUUUGUGUCUAUGUGGAGUCUGUAUGUCUUUCUCACAUCUGUCAUUUUUCUAGUCUUCAGGAGAAGGAGGUGUCCUUGUGACACUAGGCACAACAACCCUAGACAGAGUGCCUGCCCAUUAAGUCCAAUUUCUACUCUAAAUUUGAGCAAAUGUAUUUGAGAAUAUUACCUUAAUUCAUUUUUUCAACAACUGGCCUCCUUGCAGAGCUGUUUCCAACACUGAACGUUUUGCUGCCCUAUACAUUUAACUUCCUGUGGACCUGACCAGGCUGAAAUGUCUGUUGAAGAUCGAUGGGGAAAAAAGCAAGUGUCUUACAAAUUUGCAUUUCUCAAAAAGUUAUACAAAGAUUUGUUAUUUAAAUUGUUAAAAAGUGAAGAUAUGUAAAGAAAAAAAGUAAUGCGGCUUAGAUCAGGGAUUCUUUUAGUUUUUGUGUUUGGGAAUUUACAUUGCUACAGGUUUUCAUUCAUUCCAUUUACUUAAGUAGCUGUCACCACUUCCUACCUCUAACCAAACUCUAAUCUUGUAUGUUAAGUGUUUAACAAACUUAAGACAUACGGAUGUUAAGACCUUUGCUAUCUGAGACCACUAGUGUUUUUUUCAUUUUGAUUCAGCUCUCUUAAUAGUACAUACCUUCAAUUGUUUUUAAAUGAUUUAUUUAGCAUAACAAAAUAUUUUAUAAAGGGACAUGUUGUACAUGUAAACUGUAUGCUGCAGAUAAAGUACCAAACUCUUUGGUAAAUGUCUGUAAAAAGUAAGACAACCUAUAAUGUACAUUUUCAAUUGUUAUUGAGUACACGUCAAGGAUAUCUGAUUAAUUAUUUUUUUAACAUUUUAAUUUCUUGUAAGUUAGCCUGGUGUUUAUAAGCACAUUGUCAUCCUGUUUCCUUAUUUGUUGUACUAAUCUGAAAAAUGUAUACAUUGUAAGAAAGUAUUUUAUAUUAUUUCUAUUGUAGGAAUGCAGAUAGAUUGGACUUUGGUACUUUAUUGGUGGGAUUUAUGUAGGAUUUUUGUCAGAGACUGAAAUUUUUUUGCUAAAUAUAAUGAUGAAUAAAAUAAAACCAAGUUUCUUUAAAAGGACUAGAUAUUACAAUCCCUGAUGAUUUAGCACAGCACUUGCCUUGAGUGAAGUUGGACAUGUCAUCUUUGUCGGGAUGGUGUUGAUAAUGACCACUUAGUGAUGUUUCUACCAAUAUGACAUAUCAUCAGUAUACUCCAGCCACAUAGGGUGUUUUGGCCUUUUACCACUAAACAUCCUCAGCCGAGGCAAGCCCACCACAGGCUGAUCAGACCUGAGCGUGUGUCCAAUGGUUAUUAAGUGGUCAUUUGGCAGCCCAUACUAUUUCUUUCAGCAACAUUGGCAAGUUCCUUAAUGGUCUUCCGCUGGGCCUGCCCACCAAUGUCCACUUUUUUCAGCAGCCUUGUAGUGGAACUGGCUACAAAGCAUCCUCCCAAGGGACUGGCAGCUCAACGAUGAAGAUACAUCAGCAGGAGUUAGACCAAAGGACCAAAUCUGGGCGCAGAUUGGUGGCUGCAACUUCAAAUGGAAAGCCUCCAGUUUAGUGUCGCUCCUUUGAUACUAGACCUAGAAUAGCAUCUGGUGACCCGGCAUGACUUCUGAGGAGUACUUCUGGGUUUUUGAUAACCAGGGCAGUCCUUCCCUGAUAGUGCACUCUUGCUGUGUCCAGUGACCCUGACAGCGUUGCAUUUUUGGAUUCCAGUUCACAUGAACUCCUGCAUCCCCCACACUAUGCGACUCUUCAAUUCCAUCUUGGGAGCAUCAGAACAGGAAGGAAGAUAACUGAGAACCCGCUACCUCCUCAGCUCCACCACCAUUUGUCUCACUGAUUCUAUGCAGAGUGUAUCAUUCUAUUGCUGCCAGCACUGCUGCUACCAACUACGGGAAAUUCAACCUGGGACUGAUGACAUCACUUCUGGUUCAAGUCCUGCUGACGUCACUUCCUGUUUCGGUCCCGAUGACAUCAUUUUGUCUAAGCGGCUUUAAAAAUGCCAUUUUGUGUUUUCAAAUCAGUUCUGUUUUAGACUCAAGUCUGUAAAGACCUAUUUUGUUAUUUGACACUCUGUAAAAAGGCAACAAUGAUGCUACAGCACAGCCACAGUUCUACCAUUACUCUAUUUAGUUUUAUUUCUUUUCUUUCUUUUAUAGUCUGCAGAAUUCUAGAAAGCUAAAACGAAUGUUCAUUCAUUCAUUUUCUAUUACUUAUCAGGGAUUGAGUCGCAGAGACAAAAGUCCAGUGAGGCCCAUAUGUCCCUUUCCCCAGCCACACUCACUAGCUCACUCAUAUUGUGGGAUCCCAAGGUGUUACCAGGCUAUCUGGAAUAUAUAAUCAUCUCAUUGAGCCCUGGCUUCCCCAGGGUCUCCUCCCAGCUGGUCAUGAUCAUAAAAUAUUCACAGGGAGGCAUUCAUAUCAAAUGCCCAGACCAACUCAAUUGGCUCCGCUUCAUGGAGAGGAUCAACGGCUCUACUCCAAGCCUCCCCUGGAUGUCUGUGAUUUUAACCCUAUCUCUAAGGGAUAGCCCAGCCACCUUGCAGUGAAAGCUCAUUUUGGCCAUUUGUACCCACGAUUUUGUCCUUUCAGACAUUAACCAAAGCUCAGGUAGGGUAGGGACGUAAAUUGAUUGGUAAAUUGAGAGCUUUUCCUUCUCGCUCAACUCCUUCAUCACUCAGAUUGGUAUAGUAGCAGUCACAGUCGAGCCUUAAUGAAGAACUCCCCUCCUAAUUUCACACUCAAUAUGCCUUAGGCUGUGGAAUGGCAAACCACACUUCUAGGAUCAGAGAAGGCUCUACAUUUGCCCCAGUGGCCCUUAAAUGCCUUUGCCCUCCUAACACUUCUGCUGUCCCUAAGACAUUGUGUUUACAAUGCAGCUCCCAUUCUAGCAGAAUUGUUAGAGGAAGAGCAAGGUUCCAUAUAUUUCUUGCUGUAUGCCCUCUCUAGCAGACAGUACAUGUUUCCACAUCUGUGGUUUACUUUCUGAGCCCAGUCUGUCGCUGAGCAAAGUGUCAGACAUUCCUAUCCACCAUUUACUUGCCUCUUUUCUACUGUUCAUGUGAAAUAUUAAAUGCCUCCAUCCACUAUAUUCUUCAGUGUUUUUCUCGCAUACUCCUGCUAGUGCCUCUGUGCAAUGCCAUUCCUCCUUCCUCCACCCCAGUCCUCCCACACAUACUUUGCGGCCAGAUAUGCAACUAGGUUAUGGAAAUCUUUUUCAGCUGAGCAUUAUAACUGGUGGCUCCGAUUCCAGUAACUUGGCUUCACAUUUCAUCUCUUCCAUCGUAUGGAAAAUGACUAGAGAAAGAUAGUGGAAGCACACCCUAAGUGAUUCUCCGCUGAUAACAAUGGAAAUGCUGGGGUUACUGCUGCAAGCUCACAGCUCCAAAAGACUGUCAUAGUAUGUGUUGAGUUUGUGCACAUGUGGGUUUUCCACCCAUACUCUAAAGAUGUGCUUGUGCAUGUUUAUGUUUGGUCACCUAGGAACUUUCAACUAGUCCAGUUUCAGUGUAAAUGUGUUUGAGCAUUCCCGAUGGAAGGGUUGUGUACUGUCCAGUGUUGGCACCUGCUUUUUGCCUAAUACUGCCAGAACAGAAACUAGCUCCAGGAACCUUGAACUAGACAAAGGAAUACAUUAAUGGGAUGGACGUACAUGUUUUAAGAGUUCUAUCAUGUAAAAUGUUCACCCAAAGCUGUUUUCCCUUUUUUGACUCAUAUUUGACUUUAUAGCUUUGUAUAUGUAAACUCUAUUACUUUUUCUACGGAUGGAGUGCUUUGGGUUUUAAAGUGUAAGUGCACUUUAUAAGAACAAAAUGAACAAAAAAAAAUCAUAUAAUUAAUAAAUUAUGACAUUUUUAAUACAUCUCUUGAUUUGUGACAGUCACUUAAAAAGUGUUACACAAUCAAUCUUUACUUUAUAUAGUACCAUUCAGUUUAGAAAAAGCAGUAACACUUAUUCUAAAGAGGGACGAGGGCAGCGUAGGGAAACAACAGAAAAUGUCUCUUCAGGGACCCUUGGCUUGACUGUUGGUAAGGUCAUUAUUUUUCUGGUAUUUUCUCCUUUUUGUU